rnacentral:rRNA from 1 species
UACGUAGGGUGCGAGCGUUAAUCGGAAUUACUGGGCGUAAAGUGUGCGCAGGUGGCCGCGCAAGUCGAGUGUGAAAUCCCCGAGCUUAACUGGGAGGGGUCGUUGGAAACUGUUGUGCUUGAGGCGGUGAGAGGGGUGUAGAAUUCCCGGUGUAGUGGUGGAAUGCGUAGAUAUCGGGAGGAAUACCAGUGGCGAAAGCGACACCCUGGCACUGUGCCUGACGCUCAUGUGCGAAGGCGUGGGGAGCGAACGGG